rnacentral:SRP_RNA from 1 species
GCUAGACACACCAGUCCCAGCUAUGCAGGAGGCUGAGAUGGGAGGAUUGCUUGAGCCCAGGAGUUCUGGGAUGUAGUGUGCUAUGCCACUGAUCAGGUGUCCAUACUAAGUUCAGCAUCAAUAUGGUGACUUCCAGGCAGCAGGGGACUACCAAGUUGCCUAAGGAGGGGUAACCCAGCCCAGUUGGAAAAGAGCAGAUCGAAACACCUGUGCUGAUUAGCAGAGGGAUCUCACCUGUGAAUAGCCACUGCACUCCAGCCUGGGCACAUAGACUUCAUCUCU